CCACAUACAUUAAUGGCAGCAACUCCGAAAUUUUAGUAAAACAUUCAAUAUUGGUGGCCAACAAUUACAUUGGUUAAUGAAUCGCGUACGUAAUGAAAGCAUCCAUGUUGCAUUCUUCCGUAUUCUCAUACAAUGGUUUCGGGUAUCUUGAUUGUGUUUUACUAAUAUGAGCAAGUACAAAAAACCAAAGUAAAUACUUCAUUCGCCCCAUCGCACAAUGAAAAAGGAUUAUGGCGAAAAAAAAGCUACGCCUUUAGUCCCCCUCAAACUUUGCCAAUUUGGCUUUUCAUGUGUUCAUGCCCUUGCAACCAACAGAUGAACUUACAAAUGGACGGACAAACGGAUGUGCAUAUAAUUCCCCACACAUACGCACACACACACACACAUACAUACACAUACAUUUGUUUAAUAUUAAAAUGUAAAUAAAUGUAAUGAAUAUGUACAUUGGCCACAAUAUAAAUGUUGACACAUGUAUGAAA